UACGGGGGGGGGGCAAGCGUUGUUCGGAAUUACUGGGCGUAAAGGGCUCGUAGGUGGCCAACUAAGUCAGACGUGAAAUCCCUCGGCUUAACCGGGGAACUGCGUCUGAUACUGGAUGGCUUGAGUUCGGGAGAGGGAUGCGGAAUUCCAGGUGUAGCGGUGAAAUGCGUAGAUAUCUGGAGGAACACCGGUGGCGAAGGCGGCAUCCUGGACCGACACUGACGCUGAGGAGCGAAAGCCAGGGGAGCAAACGGG
rnacentral:rRNA from 1 species